rnacentral:lncRNA from 1 species
GUGUUCCAUGGAUCAUGUUGUGUAAUGAACCAGUGAUGUUCAGUGCUGGGGGCUAACGGGAUGAGUGAAGUAGUGGGAAGGGCGUGAGUGUCACGUAGAGCCUGCCUGCCUUCCACAGGCACUGAGGCAUAGUGUUGAAACCCAAGGCAAGCUCGUGUGGUGUGGUGUGUCCAACCUUCCUGUCUGCUUCAGCCUCUGGCUGCACUUAAGUGUUCUCAUUCACUUUUAAAUGAGCCAGUCUUUUUUUUUUUUUCUUUUUUUUAAGGUCACUGGCCUUAUUUCCUUGAUUGUAAAUAGUUAUGUGUUUAUUUUAAAGGUGGUGGAGGGAGGGCGGGGACAUAAAUUUGUUGCAUGAGUAAAUGUGUCAGAUCUUCUCUAUAAGCAUGCAUCCUCUGACUGACAGGGCACUGUUGAAAACAAGCACCUUGAUAACCCAAACCCUUCAGAAAGCCACAGCGCUUCAGUGCUGUGCUGAUGAAGUCACGGCGUAAAAUAGCCACAGAGCUUUGGUUCUGUACUGAUGAAGCCACAGCGUGAAAGCUUGGCUUUAUCUUUGUGUAGGACUUCAGAGCUGAGAGUAGAACAUAGCACUGGGGCCACUGUUGGGGAAAUGCAAACUAAAUAAACAUUGGACUCUUC